rnacentral:RNase_P_RNA from 1 species
GGCAGAGGGAGGCCGGCUCCCGUGCCGCGAGGCAUGAGGAAAGUCCCCCCACCCGUCGGACGGGUGACCGGGCGCAAGUCCGGGGCGGGAGACCGUCGGCUCUGGAACAGAAACGACACGUCGUCGCCGGACCGAUGAGGUGCGCGAAUCCCGAGCGAGGCCGCCCGAUCGCGGCCGAAGCGAGGGAGAGCUAACCCACCGAGGGCAGUCGCGGAUCGUGACUCGAUCCGCGCGACUGCGGGCGUCUUGCCCGCGGUCGACGUGGAGCGCAAUCGUGCUCCACGCUCCCGGCGACGGACCGAUGGAACGGCGAAACCUCACCGGUGCAAGGCCGCGUCGACAGGUAGUCCGACGCCGCGCGCGAGCGCUGGACGCGGCCGCUGAGCCGAAUGCCGGCCCGAACAGAAGGGGGCUUACUCCCCUCAGCC